UACGAAGGGGGCUAGCGUUGCUCGGAAUCACUGGGCGUAAAGGGUGCGUAGGCGGGUCUUUAAGUCGGGGGUGAAAGCCUGGGGCUCAACCUCAGAACUGCCUUUGAUACUGAAGAUCUUGAGUUCGGGAGAGGUGAGUGGAACUGCGAGUGUAGAGGUGAAAUUCGUAGAUAUUCGCAAGAACACCAGUGGCGAAGGCGGCUCACUGGCCCGAUACUGACGCUGAGGCACGAAAGCGUGGGGAGCAAACAGG
rnacentral:rRNA from 1 species